rnacentral:rRNA from 1 species
GACGAACGCUGGCGGCGUGUCUAAUACACGCAAGUAGAACGCAGUUGCGAACGGUUGAGUAACGCGUAGGUAACUGCCUCAUUGCUGGGGACAACCAUUGGAAACGAUAGCUAAUACCGCAUACUGUGAGAUGGACCUGCGUUGUAUUAGCGAGUUGGUGAGGUAAAGGCUCACCAAGGCGACGAUACAUAGCCGAACUGAGAGGGUGAUCGGCCAAACUGGGACUGGAAAACGGCCCAGACUCCUACGGGAGGCAGCAGUAGGGAGUCUAGGGCAAUGGACGGAAGGCUGACCCAGCAACGAGACGUGAGUGGAGGAGGUUUUCGGAUCGUAAAGCUCUGUUGUUAGAGCAGCGGUAACUAACCAGAGAGGGACGGCUAACUUCGUGCCAGCAGCCGCGGUAAUUC